UGUUAUUUCAAGGCUGCGGAAAGCAGAGUAUUGACGAACUGUUGUCCAACUCGAACGAGGUGACCAUAAACUUCGUGACGGACGAGAGUGGACAACCACCAGGAUUCAGCCUCCAGUAUACAGGUGUUCCAAGCGACGAUAUCACUGGAGACACCAUCAUAGAAACCCCCGGUUAUCCAGACUACCCGCCCCGUGACCAGAUAUUCAAGUGGAAGAUUUUGCCUAAACAAAAUGUCAUUACCAUUGUACGUGGGAUUGCAUUCAACGGGUCCCUGCCUUGGUGCGGGGAAUCACCUGUAACGGCCAUCAACGAGAGGAACGAGGUGUGGAACCAGGAGCUGUGUCUGUCUAACUACGCACUCUUCUCCCCCGGGAACAUCACCCUGGUGUACAACGCCAGCACCGACACUAACCCCUGGGUGGG